CAGACGCCCCUUCAGGAGGGUGUGCGAAAUUGCCGUGGAAGAGGUUGAGCAGCAAGGAUGCUGCGAAAGCCUCGAUGGGCCAUGGACGGCCCUUCGAGGCGGGCCUCUGGAACGGUGAUUUCGCGCACGCACCCGAAGCGAAGCGUA
rfam:Pseudomonas sp. TTT2014-080ASC scaffold_2, whole genome shotgun sequence.